UUGCUCUUAUGGGUGGCGAGUGGCCGUCAGGGGAGGAAUACAUCGGAAUCUACUUUUUCGUGGGGUUUUACGUAGGGAAACUUACGCUAAUACCGCAUACGACCUACGGGUGAAAGCAGGGGAUCUUCGGACCUUGCGCGAUUGAAUGAGCCGAUGUCGGAUUAGCUAGUUGGCGGGGUAAAGGCCCACCAAGGCGACGAUCCGUAGCUGGUCUGAGAGGAUGAUCAGCCACACUGGAACUGAGACACGGUCCAGACUCCUACGGGAGGCAGCAGUGGGGAAUAUUGGACAAUGGGCGCAAGCCUGAUCCAGCCAUACCGCGUGGGUGAAGAAGGCCUUCGGGUUGUAAAGCCCUUUUGUUGGGAAAGAAAUCCAGCCGGCUAAUACCUGGUUGGGAUGACGGUACCCAAAGAAUAAGCACCGGCUAACUUCGUGCCAGCAGCCGCGGUAAUACGAAGGGUGCAAGCGUUACUCGGAAUUACUGGGCGUAAAGCGUGCGUAGGUGGUUGUUUAAGUCUGUUGUGAAAGCCCUGGGCUCAACCUGGGAACUGCAGUGGAAACUGGACAACUAGAGUGUGGUAGAGGGUAGCGGAAUUCCCGGUGUAGCAGUGAAAUGCGUAGAGAUCGGGAGGAACAUCCAUGGCGAAGGCAGCUACCUGGACCAACACUGACACUGAGGCACGAAAGCGUGGGGAGCAAACAGGAUUAGAAUACCCUGGUAGUCCACGCCC
rnacentral:rRNA from 1 species